rnacentral:piRNA from 1 species
UGAUGUUAACCUGACACUGCCUAAAGAAU